CGAAAGCCUGACGGAGCAAUACCGCGUGAGGGAGGAAGGCUCUUGGGUUGUAAACCUCUUUUCUCAGGGAAGAACACAAUGACGGUACCUGAGGAAUAAGCAUCGGCUAACUCCGUGCCAGCAGCCGCGGUAAUACGGAGGAUGCAAGCGUUAUCCGGAAUUAUUGGGCGUAAAGCGUCCGCAGGUGGCAUUUCAAGUCUGCUGUCAAAGGUCAGGGCUCAACCCUGAACAGGCAGUGGAAACUGAACAGCUAGAGUGCGGUAGGGGCAGAGGGAAUUCCCAGUGUAGCGGUGAAAUGCGUAGAGAUUGGGAAGAACACCGGUGGCGAAAGCGCUCUGCUAGGCCUGCAACUGACACUCAUGGACGAAAGCUAGGGGAGCG
rnacentral:rRNA from 1 species